rnacentral:tRNA from 1 species
UAUUAAACAGUAUUAGCGUACAAAGAAUUUUGAAUUCUUAAGAAGGAUUACUCACCUUUUAAUAA